CCAAACGCUCGAGGAAUCUCUUGUCAGUGAUCUGGAUUCCUCGCGCGAGGAGUAAAAACUAGAAUGUUCUAGAAACUUUUACCUCAGACACAAGAAGCAACUGACAAUAAAACACCUAUUAACGUUACAGUAAACGCUAAUAUACGAAGAAAGAAUGGAAGAAUCUUUGUCUGUCCAUGAAGUCUUUACAAGUUAUGUGACCCUUCUCCUGGAAUUGUUACGUCCGAGACUUGUGAUGCUACUUUUGCGGGAGAGAAUCGGAGUAGGUGCAGUAGGUGCGGUGGGUGAGGUUUCAUUGGGGCAGCCAUGUUGGCGAAGGAUAUCCACACACUCUUGGCUCCCAGCCUGUUGUGCUAGCGUUAAAGCUGUUUGGCCUUGAGGAUUCUUUGCUUUCACGUCACUGCCAUACUACAGAGAGAAAAAGACAAAAAAAAAAUGAAAAACCCAUAAUUCAAAAAAGAAACCUGAGAUAAAUCAGAAAUAUAUCAUGCUAUAAGAAUGUUACUGCCUUAUAUAAGUGUAAAUGUUCCUUGCUUAAAAGUAUUUUAAUUUGUCAUAUUAGCUUAAAAGAAAGUAUUGCUAUAGGUUUUAUAUAGUUUUGUUUUGAAAUGUAUUUUACCACUGCACAGUUGAAUUCUCAAGUCUGACUGAUCAGUAAAUAUUGAAAUAUUUUUCAUAACAGCAACACUAUAUGUUAUAUUAUAUAAUGUUAUAUAACACUAUAUAUUAAUCACAUGUUUAUGUUGAUGCAGGAUGGCUGACACUUCACAUAAAAACAGGUCUACAACAUGAAAGUCUCCAUUUUUUGGCUAAAAAAUAAAAAACAUCCAGCA